GGGGGUGUUCUGGAUUCGACAGGUAUAGGUCGAGCCUGAACUGCGCUUCGUGAGUUGCGUUCACGUAAAAAACGCUAAACUUUUUUAUCUGCAAAAGAUAAUAACUCUUACGCUUUAGCUGCUUAAUUGUAGCUUAGUGUAGAUCCGUCCGCUGCGGCCCAGGUGGCGGAGUGCGGGUCUCAAAAAUUUGGGCUACGCUGCAAGUUCACGUCUGAAGCAAGCAGAAGAGAUUAAUCAGACUUAGCUAGCCACGGUUGCCUUGUCAAACGGCGUUUUGGUUAGUGAAAUUUAAAUGGUUUGACUAUGAGCGUAGAUGUUCGGGUGGCGAUAUGCUUGGACGCGGGUUCGAUCCCCGCCACCUCCAUCA
rnacentral:tmRNA from 1 species